rnacentral:rRNA from 1 species
UACGUAGGGACCAAGCGUUGUUCGGAUUUACUGGGCGUAAAGGGCGCGUAGGCGGCCAUUCAAGUCAUCUGUGAAAUCUCCGGGCUUAACCCGGAACGGUCAGGUGAUACUGUUUUGCUAGAGUGCGGAAGGGGCAAUCGGAAUUCUCGGUGUAGCGGUGAAAUGCGUAGAUAUCGAGAGGAACACCAGAGGUGAAGACGGGUUGCUGGGCCGACACUGACGGUGACAGCGCGAAAGCCAGGGGAGCAAACGGG